rnacentral:rRNA from 1 species
AUGUGAUCGUCUCUCGCAUAUCAAUAAGCGGAGGAAAAGAAACUAACAAGGAUUCCCCUAGUAACGGCGAGUGAAGCGGGAAGAGCUCAAAUUUGAAAUCUUAAAGGGUUUCCCUUUACGAAUUGUAGUUUAAAGAAGUGUUUUCUGUUGAGGUUUUGGUAAAAGUUCUUUGGAAUAGGACAUCAUAGAGGGUGAGAAUCCCGUAUUUGACCUUUACUUUCAACUUUGUGAUACACUUUCAAAGAGUCGGAUUGUUUGGGAAUGCAGUCCAAAAUGGGUGGUAAAUUUCAUCUAUAGCUAAAUAUUGGCGAGAGACCGAUAGCGAACAAGUACCGUGAGGGAAAGAUGAAAAGAACUUUGAAAAGAGAGUUAAACAGUACGUGAAAUUGUCAAAAGGGAAGCGUUUGACACCAGUGUUGUUUUUCUGAAAAUCAAUUAAAGAACUGUUUAUGCUAAGUUGUUUAGACUUUAUCAGCUAACUGUUUAGUUUUGAGCUUUUCUUUAAUGCACUUUUCAGUUAACAAGUCAACAUCAAUUUCUUUUGCUGUAAAAAAGCUUGAGGAAGGUGGCUUGAGAUUCGUCUUAAGUGUUUAUAGCCUCUUGCCUAUGCAGUCGGAGAGAUUGAGGUCUGCAGCGUAGAUCCUUCGGGGCUAAAUGCAUUUGUGCUAAGUUAUAGCAUUUUAUAGACAACUUGUUGACUAUGAUUUGUCUUGUAGCUUACUCGCUUAUGUUAUUUUACCUACGCUUAGGAUGUUGAUAUCGCGCUCUCACUG